rnacentral:rRNA from 1 species
GGGUUGUGAGGUUAAGCGACUAAGCGUACACGGUGGAUGCCCUGGCAGUCAGAGGCGAUGAAGGACGUGCUAAUCUGCGAAAAGCGUCGGUAAGGUGAUAUGAACCGUUAUAACCGGCGAUGUCCGAAUGGGGAAACCCAGUGCAAUUCGUUGCACUAUCGUUAACUGAAUACAUAGGUUAACGAGGCGAACCGGGGGAACUGAAACAUCUAAGUACCCCGAGGAAAAGAAAUCAACCGAGAUUCCCCCAGUAGCGGCGAGCGAACGGGGAGCAGCCCAGAGUCUGAAUCAGCUUGUGUGUUAGUGGAACGGUCUGGAAAGUCCGACGGUACAGGGUGAUAGUCCCGUACACCAAAAUGCACAGGCUGUGAACUCGAAGAGUAGGGCGGGACACGUGGUAUCCUGUCUGAAUAUGGGGGGACCAUCCUCCAAGGCUAAAUACUCCUGACUGACCGAUAGUGAACCAGUACCGUGAGGGAAAGGCGAAAAGAACCCCGGCGAGGGGAGUGAAAAAGAACCUGAAACCGUGUACGUACAAGCAGUGGGAGCACCUUCGGGUGUGACUGCGUACCUUUUGUAUAAUGGGUCAGCGACUUAUAUUCUGUAGCAAGGUUAACCGUAUAGGGGAGCCGCAGGGAAACCGAGUCUUAACUGGGCGUUAAGUUGCAGGGUAUAGACCCGAAACCCGGUGAUCUAGCCAUGGGCAGGUUGAAGGUUGGGUAACACUAACUGGAGGACCGAACCGACUAAUGUUGAAAAAUUAGCGGAUGACUUGUGGCUGGGGGUGAAAGGCCAAUCAAACCGGGAGAUAGCUGGUUCUCCCCGAAAGCUAUUUAGGUAGCGCCUCGUGAACUCAUCUUCGGGGGUAGAGCACUGUUUCGGCUAGGGGGUCAUCCCGACUUACCAACCCGAUGCAAACUACGAAUACCGAAGAAUGUUAUCACGGGAGACACACGGCGGGUGCUAACGUCCGUCGUGAAGAGGGAAACAACCCAGACCGCCAGCUAAGGUCCCAAAGUCAUGGUUAAGUGGGAAACGAUGUGGGAAGGCACAGACAGCCAGGAUGUUGGCUUAGAAGCAGCCAUCAUUUAAAGAAAGCGUAAUAGCUCACUGGUCGAGUCGGCCUGCGCGGAAGAUGUAACGGGGCUAAACCAUGCACCGAAGCUGCGGCAGCGACACGAUGUGUUGUUGGGUAGGGGAGCGUUCUGUAAGCCUGCGAAGGUGACCUGUGAGGGUUGCUGGAGGUAUCAGAAGUGCGAAUGCUGACAUAAGUAACGAUAAAGCGGGUGAAAAGCCCGCUCGCCGGAAGACCAAGGGUUCCUGUCCAACGUUAAUCGGGGCAGGGUGAGUCGACCCCUAAGGCGAGGCCGAAAGGCGUAGUCGAUGGGAAACAGGUUAAUAUUCCUGUACUUGGUGUUACUGCGAAGGGGGGACGGAGAAGGCUAUGUUAGCCGGGCGACGGUUGUCCCGGUUUAAGCAUGUAGGCUGGUUAUCCAGGCAAAUCCGGAUAAUCAAGGCUGAGGUGUGAUGACGAGGCACUACGGUGCUGAAGUAACAAAUGCCCUGCUUCCAGGAAAAGCCUCUAAGCAUCAGGUAACAUCAAAUCGUACCCCAAACCGACACAGGUGGUCAGGUAGAGAAUACCAAGGCGCUUGAGAGAACUCGGGUGAAGGAACUAGGCAAAAUGGUGCCGUAACUUCGGGAGAAGGCACGCUGGUGUGUAGGUGAAGUCCCUGCGGAUGGAGCUGAGACCAGUCGAAGAUACCAGCUGGCUGCAACUGUUUAUUAAAAACACAGCACUGUGCAAACACGAAAGUGGACGUAUACGGUGUGACGCCUGCCCGGUGCCGGAAGGUUAAUUGAUGGGGUUAUCCGUAAGGAGAAGCUCUUGAUCGAAGCCCCGGUAAACGGCGGCCGUAACUAUAACGGUCCUAAGGUAGCGAAAUUCCUUGUCGGGUAAGUUCCGACCUGCACGAAUGGCGUAAUGAUGGCCAGGCUGUCUCCACCCGAGACUCAGUGAAAUUGAACUCGCUGUGAAGAUGCAGUGUACCCGCGGCAAGACGGAAAGACCCCGUGAACCUUUACUAUAGCUUGACACUGAACAUUGAGCCUUGAUGUGUAGGAUAGGUGGGAGGCUUUGAAGCGUGGACGCCAGUCUGCGUGGAGCCAACCUUGAAAUACCACCCUUUAAUGUUUGAUGUUCUAACGUGGGCCCCUAAUCGGGGUUGCGGACAGUGUCUGGUGGGUAGUUUGACUGGGGCGGUCUCCUCCCAAAGCGUAACGGAGGAGCACGAAGGUUAGCUAAUCCUGGUCGGACAUCAGGAGGUUAGUGCAAUGGCAUAAGCUAGCUUGACUGCGAGCGUGACGGCGCGAGCAGGUGCGAAAGCAGGUCAUAGUGAUCCGGUGGUUCUGAAUGGAAGGGCCAUCGCUCAACGGAUAAAAGGUACUCCGGGGAUAACAGGCUGAUACCGCCCAAGAGUUCAUAUCGACGGCGGUGUUUGGCACCUCGAUGUCGGCUCAUCACAUCCUGGGGCUGAAGUAGGUCCCAAGGGUAUGGCUGUUCGCCAUUUAAAGUGGUACGCGAGCUGGGUUUAGAACGUCGUGAGACAGUUCGGUCCCUAUCUGCCGUGGGCGCUGGAGAAUUGAGGGGGGCUGCUCCUAGUACGAGAGGACCGGAGUGGACGCAUCACUGGUGUUCGGGUUGUCAUGCCAAUGGCACUGCCCGGUAGCUAAAUGCGGAAGAGAUAAGUGCUGAAAGCAUCUAAGCACGAAACUUGCCCCGAGAUGAGUUCUCCCUGAGACUUUAAGUCUCCUGAAGGAACGUUGAAGACGACGACGUUGAUAGGCCGGGUGUGUAAGCGCAGCGAUGCGUUGAGCUAACCGGUACUAAUGAACCGUGAGGCUUAACCUUACAACGCCGAAG